rnacentral:tRNA from 1 species
CGGCGUGUGGCGCAGACUGGUAGCGCGCUUGCUUGGGGUGCAAGAGGUCGCAGGUUCAAAUCCUGUCACGCCGACCA